UGGGGAAUAUUGCACAAUGGGCGAAAGCCUGAUGCAGCAACGCCGCGUGAGUGAUGAAGGCCUUCGGGUUGUAAAGCUCUGUCUUUUGGGACGAUAAUGACGGUACCAAAGGAGGAAGCCACGGCUAACUACGUGCCAGCAGCCGCGGUAAUACGUAGGUGGCAAGCGUUGUCCGGAUUUACUGGGCGUAAAGGAUGCGUAGGCGGAUUUUUAAGUGAGAUGUGAAAACCCUAAGCUUAACUUGGGGACUGCAUUUCAUACUGGAAAUCUAGAGUGCGGGAGAGGAGAAUGGAAUUCCUAGUGUAGCGGUGAAAUGCGUAGAGAUUAGGAAGAACACCAGUGGCGAAGGCGAUUCUCUGGACCGUAACUGACGCUGAGGCAUGAAAGCGUGGGUAGCAAACAGGAUUAGAUACCCUGGUAGUCCACGCCGUAAACGAUGAGUACUAGGUGUAGGAGGUAUCGACCCCUUCUGUGCCGCAGUUAACACAAUAAGUACUCCGCCUGGGAAGUACGAUCGCAAGAUUAAAACUUAAAGGAAUUGACGGGGGUCAUAGCUG
rnacentral:rRNA from 1 species